rnacentral:rRNA from 1 species
GAGAUUCUGGAUAAGGGCGUGCGGUGGAUGCCUAGACUCUAAAAAGCGAAGAAGGACGCAGUUUGGCGGCGAUACGCUUCGGGGAGGUGCCCAGCAACCUUCGAUCCGGAGAUUUCCGAAUGGGGUAACCCCAUCAAGCAAACCUUGAUGACCCAGUGUGUAAAAGCAUUGUGGAGCAGACCACGGGAAGUGAAACAUCUCAGUACCGUGAGGAAAAGAGAACAAUAGUUAUUCCCUUAGUAGCGGCGAGCGAAAAGGGAGGAGCCCAAACUCAACCACAAUAUCGGUGCGCAAUUAAUUUUGCGGAACGAUAUUGGGGAUGGGGGUUAUAAGGCUACAACGCUCGAAAGAGGUAGAGUAAAAAAUUGCUUAGUUAGAAGAACCAGCUGAGAAGCUGGGCCCCAGCGGG